GACGAACGCUGGCGGCGUGCCUAACACAUGCAAGUCGAGCGAAAGGACCAGGAGUUUUCUCCUCUGAUGUCUGCGGCGGAGGGGAGCGUCCCUUGUGUAUACCAUACCUACCAGACUGGGAUACUUAUGGGAAAUCGGAGCUAAUACCGGAUAAUUUUUUGCACCUGGUUGGUCACACGUUAAAUUCGGUCUUGCUGUCUGUUAUAGCCGACUCCGCUCUGGAUUAGCAAGUUGGUAAGGUAACGGCUUAGCAAGGCUAGGAGGCAUAGCCGACCGGAGCGGGUGAUCGGCCAGACGGGAGCUGAGACAGGGCCCAGACGCCUACGGGAGGCAGCAGUAGGGAAUCGUACGCAAUGGGGGAGAGCCGGACGGAGCAACGCCGCGUGAGUGAUGAAGGUCUUCGGAUCGGAAAGCUCUGUUAGUAGGGGAGAACAAAUGUGUAAGUAACCGUGCAGAUCUUGACGGUACCGAGUCAGAAAGCCACGGCUAACUACGUG
rnacentral:rRNA from 1 species